rnacentral:rRNA from 1 species
AGUGAACGCUGGCGGUAGGCCUAACACAUGCAAGUCGAACGGCAACACAGUACGAGCUUGUUCUGACUGGUGGCGAGUGGCGGACGGGUGAGGAAUACAUCCGAAUCUACUUUUUCGUGGGGGAUAACGUAGGGAAACUUACCAUAAUACCGCAUACGACCUACGGGUGAAAGCAGGGGAUCUUCGGACCUUGCGCGAUUGAAUGAGCCGAUGUCGGAUUAGCUAGUUGGCGGGGUAAAGGCCCACCAAGGCGACGAUCCGUAGCUGGUCUGAGAGGAUGAUCAGCCACACUGGAACUGAGACACGGCCCAGACUCCUACGGGAGGCAGCAGUGGGGAAUAUUGGACAAUGGGCGCAAGCCUGAUCCAGCAAUGCCGCGUGGGUGAAGAAGGCCUUCGGGUUGUAAAGCCCUUUUGUUGGGAAAGAAACGCAGCAGGUUAAUACCCCGCUGUUCUGACGGUACCCAAAGAAUAAGCACCGGCUAACUUCGUG